AUUGAACGCUGGCGGCAGGCCUAACACAUGCAAGUCGAACGAGGGGAGGAAGGGGGAGGAAGGGACGGGAAACUGCCUGAUGGAGGGGGAGAACGACUGGAAACGGCAGCUAAGAAAGGAGACAAGCAGCGGGGCACUGAUGGGAUUAGCUAGUUGGUGGGGUAACGGCGCACCAAGGCGACGAUCCCUAGCUGGUCUGAGAGGAUGACCAGCCACACUGGAACUGAGACACGGUCCAGACUCCUACGGGAGGCAGCAGUGGGGAAUAUUGCACAAUGGGCGCAAGCCUGAUGCAGCCAUGCCGCGUGUAUGAAGAAGGCCUUCGGGUUGUAAAGUACUUUCAGCGGGGAGGCUUUCCCCUCCCCUGAAGCACCGGCUAACUCCGUGCCAGCAGCCGCGGUAAUUC
rnacentral:rRNA from 1 species